rnacentral:rRNA from 1 species
UACGGAGGAUCCAAGCGUUAUCCGGAUUUAUUGGGUUUAAAGGGUGCGUAGGCGGCUUUUUAAGUCAGGGGUGAAAGACGGUAGCUUAACUAUCGCAGUGCCUUUGAUACUGAAGAGCUUGAAUGAACUAGAGGUAGGCGGAAUGUGACAAGUAGCGGUGAAAUGCAUAGAUAUGUCACAGAACACCGAUUGCGAAGGCAGCUUACUAUGGUUUAAUUGACGCUGAGGCACGAAAGCGUGGGGAUCAAACAGG